CAAAGAAGUCCAAGUAGGAGGUGAGCAUUCCCAUCUGUGUUUUGCCCUCCCACAGCUCAAGUUAUCAAAGGAGGAGUGACUCAGGGUGUGUUUUUAGUACACAACACUCCAACGCUUAGGCUAGGUUCAUCACACUCGCUCCAGACCUCCCAAAACAGUACAGUUCCCAUGUUUCUUGACUGGAAGAAUAGUUCCAUAGUUCUGGACUGGAAGGGAACGAGAAUUUCUGAAAUAUUUUACCAACCCCUUUGAGAAGAAGCAUACUGUAAAAGAAGCAACGUGUCCACCGAGUGCUAUCUGACCUACCUCACAGGGCUGUUGUGAAGAUAAACAUAACGAUGUACGCUACUCUGGGCUCUUUGGAGAAAGAGUAGGAUAUAAUUUUUUUAAUAAUGAAAAUGAUCUUGUCAGACAUAGGGCUCAAACCAAGAGCAACGGGGACUUCAAGCCAUCUACCAGAGAUCACCUCUUGAGAAGAUGAGUCUGGCAUCUGUGGGGAAGCAAUCCCAUGUUACCUCUGCCUGCAUAAUCUCCAGUAUGUGCUAGUGGCAGCAACAUUAAAGCUAGGAUAAAUCACUGAUCUUGCUAGACUUGCCUCCUGUAUCUAGCUGCCUACUCUUCUGCCCUGCCUACACCAUGCAGGCUGCACCGUCAGCUCCGUGGGGCUUCAAACUCUCCUUACUGGCUGCCAUUUUCUGCUACAGUCGCCAGAAAUCUCUUCUGCUGCUCAGAAAGUGGGCACCGAGAUCAGCAUUUCUAUUAGACAAAUACAGAAGAAGCUGCCUUCUGGCUUGUGAUGUUUCUUGAACUGGCUGCAACUCUCCCAGAAGCGAAUGAGUUGCCUGCCACUGUUCUAAAUACAAGAGACACCGGAAAGCAAACUCCCUCCUAAAGUAUCUGGCACAGCCCUCUUGAAGCCUAACCAAGUCUCUGGCACAGCCUGGACUCAGGUCCCUCGGAGAGGUAAAAAGUGCAAGCGUAUUCCAAAAGAAAUGAGGCCUGUUCCUGCAAAGAAUGUGGACUGACCACGGACAGCACACAGUUCUAAAAACAGAGUACGGACAAGAGGAGACGGACGCGUAGCAUUGGUCUUUCCUGCCCAAAGAUAAUGCACAGAUUCGUGUCAAAAGCCUUAAAACCUAUCUGUUUGGCCUGGCCUUCCAGGGUUUUCAAUGAUUAACUGUUCUAAAUUGUUUUAAAUUGUUGCCCUGAUUUCUAGGGUUUUUAGCUGUUUAAUUGGUUUUAUUGUGUUUUAAUAGUUUGGUUUUCAUUGUUAAUUUGUUUUAAUUGUUUUUAUCAUGCUGCAGACCACCCUGAGCCAUUUUGGAAGGGCAGUAUACAAAUAAAAAUAAAUAAAUAAAUAAAUAAAUAAAUAUACACACGGUUGUGAAAUCCCUCUGUGUUUCCAGGAACUAAUGAGAUCUAAUGAGCUUGGGUGUGUCUCUGUGAACAGUGCCAAAGUGCAUUUGAGAAGAGAUUUAAUUGGAUUUGUAUCCUCAGAAGUGUUCAAGAGGGUAAGGCCAAAGAUCAUCUUCAGAGCUGCUUCCCUUGCAAGUGGCAGCAGAGUCCAUGAACGCGUUAUUUCGACACCUCCGAUUUUUAAAUUAAAUUUUUAUACAAAAAUGCAGGCACACCACACAGAGAUUCCCCUUGCUUGCCAUUAUGCAUAAGCAUAAACAACCGCAGAUUAAAUUCAUUAUUAAUAUAUGCCAAAGUGUGUUUUGUUGUUCCAAUAAAACGACUACCAGCUUUCGUUA